UACAGAGGGUGCGAGCGUUAAUCGGAAUUACUGGGCGUAAAGCGUGCGUAGACGGUAGCGUAAGUCAGAUGUGAAAGCCCCGGGCUCAACCUGGGAACUGCAUUUGAGACUGCUCUGCUCGGGUGCGGAAGAGGGAAGCGGAAUUUCCGGUGUAGCGGUGAAAUGGCGUAGAUAUCGGAAAGGAACACCAGUGGCGAAAGCGGCUUCCUGGUCCGACACCGACGUUCAGGCACGAAAGCGUGGGGAGCAAACAGGA
rnacentral:rRNA from 1 species